UUCUAUGUACAGAUGAUCCCACACACUACUUCGAUAAUGUGGAAGUCUGGGUUCUGGGGAGGAUCAGCCCCUUAAUUAGACCUGUUCCCACUGAUCUUUGGUCCAGUUCUUGGGUCAUGUGUCCUACCUCAGCCUUUCCUUCCUGUUUGCCUUCCUUACGAACGGCUUCCUGACAGCCACGUUUCCAUGGAGACCAUGUCUGAUGAGGUUUCGGCCAACAGUAGAUGGAUCAGCUGAAGGUCCAGAUGCAUCUCUCAGGUCCUGGUUCAGGUCUUUGCUGGAUUUCAGAUCCUGUUGAUCUGCUGUAGAUAGAUUUUAGUCCUGACUCGUUUGCCCUCCCCGUGUCCAGUUUUUGCCUCCACGCUGAGAUAAUCCAGGUUUCCAGCUACCCGCUGUUUGGGAAUCACUUUUAAACCCUGUUUUCUG